rnacentral:rRNA from 1 species
AGAGUUUGAUCCUGGCUCAGAUUGAACGCUGGCGGCAUGCCUUACACAUGCAAGUCGAACGGUAACGCGGGGGCAACCCUGGCGACGAGUGGCGAACGGGUGAGUAAUACAUCGGAACAUAUCCAGUAGCGGGGGAUAACCUAUCGAAAGAUGGACUAAUACCGCAUACGAUCUACGGAUGAAAGCAGGGGACCGCAAGGCCUUGCACUAUUGGAGUGGCCGAUGUCGGAUUAGCUAGUUGGUGGGGUAAAAGCUUACCAAGGCGACGAUCCGUAGCUGGUCUGAGAGGACGAUCAGCCACACUGGAACUGAGACACGGUCCAGACUCCUACGGGAGGCAGCAGUGGGGAAUUUUGGACAAUGGGGGCAACCCUGAUCCAGCCAUGCCGCGUGAGUGAAGAAGGCCUUCGGGUUGUAAAGCUCUUUCGGUGAAGACGAAACGGUUAGUGUUAAUAACACUGACUAAUGACGGUACUCACAGAAGAAGCACCGGCUAACUACGUGCCAGCAGCCGCGGUAAU